rnacentral:rRNA from 1 species
UGCUAUAACUGUCAGCUAAGUGGCGCACGGGUGAGUAAUGUAUAGUUAACCUGCCCUCUAGAAAGGAAUAACAGUUGGAAACGACUGCUAAUGCCCUAUAUGCCUUUAAGACAUAAGUCUGCAAGGGAAACGCUUUAGUGCUAGAGGAUGGGACUGUAUGGUAUCAGCUAGUUGGUGAGGUAAAGGCUCACCAAGGCAAUGACGCCUAACUGGUUUGAGAGGAUGAUCAGUCACACUGGAACUGAGACACGGUCCAGACUCCUACGGGAGGCAGCAGUGGGGAAUAUUGCACAAUGGAGGAAACUCUGAUGCAGCAACGCCGCGUGGAGGAUGACACUUUUCGGAGCGUAAACUCCUUUUAUAUAGGAAGAUAAUGACGGUACUAUAUGAAUAAGCACCGGCUAACUCCGUGCCAGCAGCCGCGGUAAUACGGAGGGUGCAAGCGUNACUCGGAAUCACUGGGCGUAAAGAGCGUGUAGGCGGGUUAAUAAGUUUGAAGUGAAAUCCUAUGGCUCAACCAUAGA